AAUUUUCUCCAGUUGUCAGUAGGUCUACUCUAGAACUUUCUCCAGUUGUCAGUAGGUCUACUCUAGAACUUUCUCCAGUUGUCGGUAGGUCUACUCUAGAACUUUCUCCAGUUGUCAGUAGGUCUACUCUAGAACUUUCUCCAGUUGUCAGUAGGUCUACUCUAGAACUUUCUCCAGGUGUCGGUAGGUCUACUCUAGAACUUUCUCCAGGUGUCGGUAGGUCUACUCUAGAACUUUCUCCAGCUGUCGGUAGGUCUACUCUAGAACUUUCUCCAGAGAAUGUUCUCCUUUAUGG